ensembl:lncRNA
GGAGAGCUUUAUUUGGAAGGACACUGGGGGAGGGCUGAUUAAACAGGCUUCUGGCUGCAUUCAAUUUUAUCUGGUUCGGGGAGAUUUUGCACCUUUCUUGGAGACUGUACUAGCUGGGAUUAGCACAUUCCAUUUCCUGCACUCCUCAUAAGGCUGAGAACUAAAGAAAAUUAAAAUAAAGAGCUGAUCAUGCCGAACAUGAUUUUCUCUUCCUGUAUACCAGCCUAGCCCUGCUGACUUCAGAAGAAUGUCUCCUGAUCUGUUCUGGUAAGAGAUGAGAAAGCCACUGAUUUUCUACCUUAGAUAAGUUGCUGGCACAACAGCAGAAAAACUGCAUGUGUUGGAGAAAAAAAAAAAAAAAACACAGUGGGCACAAACAGAAAGUCCCACACAGCUCAGUUAGUUUAACUUAAGAAAUGUUUUCUCUCAAAAAAUGCCAAUAAGCUAGAGCAACAUUAUAUUUAAUAGUGUGGAAAAAUUCCACAAUAUAGCCAUAUGAGAAAUGUAUUUAAUUUUCCUUUUUUAAGCAAGUCAGCAAGUGAGUGCAUAUUACUAAGUUUGCUAGCGCAGCCUAGAAGAGCAUAUUGAAAGAUCCUCUAUAAUGCACAAUUAGAUGCAAAGUUAAAAUGGAGUGCUUUGUGUAGCUGCAGAGCACUUUGCUACACUGAUUGGUUUCAGGUGCUGUGAAUCUCCAGUCUUGUUACUGGCAGACAUUAGAACAGCAUAAACUUUUUGUCUCUUAUUCUCUUCUUAAUGUACAGGGCAUGGUGGGACAGAAUAAACAUAGCAAGGCACCUAUGCAUUGGAGAUGGUUUCAGUGAUUAAUACAGCUCUGGCAUAGGCAGGCACAACUCUUAUUGACUUCAGUCAGUGUUGCACUGGAUUACCCUAGGGAUGAGUUUGAUCCUCAGACUCUUUCUAGUAAUGAGUGCUCUGGCAAGAGCAUUAAGCACCACAAGCAGAGAAUUAGCAGGUCCAGAAUUAUCCAUGCUGUCAACAGAAAUGGAGAGCAAGCAGGAGACUGGAGGAAAAUAUUGUGUGUGCUUUACUGGUUUGCAAAUGUACGCUCACUAAAUCAGCAGCAACACAUUGACAAAGCUAGGAUUUUUUUCUGCUCCCUUCUAACAGGAUGUAAAAAAAUACUUAUUUAAUAGUGUAAGGCAUUUAUUCAGAUGCAUUAAUGGCAAGGAAAAGUAGGUAGUUAGAUAGUAAGAAAUGUGAGAAAACUUGAUGUGAUGUUGUCUUUGAGAGGUAUUUAAAUUACAGAAAAACACUUCAUAUACAAAAGUUGCAAAGCAGUAGAUAUCCCACCUUGAAAAUAGAUCAUCAAUAUCUUAACAUGAAUAAGGUAGCUCAGAUUGGCAGUACAAGCAGUCUGGGGGUGUUUAUGUCUGUUCUUGUUAAAACUGCUCAGUUCCUCUCCAAACUCCAAGUAAAGCCUUUCCGUUCAAUUUGAUUUUAUUUCAUGACAGGGCAAGGGCUACUCUCUGAAGGAAAGGACUACAUUUUAAUAAUCUCAAAUAGAAAAAAAAAGAUAUCCAGAUAGAAGAAAAAAACCAGCAGCAGGCAUCAAAUGAGACAGAAAGAAGUAACAAAGAAAUCAGCAGUCUCACUGAAACGAUUCUCAUCUGAAACAGGUGAAGGACUUAAUUCAGAAAGCUACUAAGUAAUGCCUACAUUGCUUUUAUACCUUAAUCUUCUUUGGGGAGAAUGAGUUUCAUAUCCAGAAGACAAAUCAAGCACCCAAACGAUCACGGUGCAUUUUAAGAAAUUGUACUUCUGGCUGCAGAAUUCUGGAUCAAUCAAUUUGGGAGAAGACUUAACAGUCAACUAUGGUCAGCAUGGAAUCAUUUGAAGUGGAACUCAUGGAAGAUGUACUUGCUGCAGGCCAAAUCUCACUGAAUUUGGUGCUGUAAAACUCUAGUCAUCCUUAACUGCUCUGAAG